UAAAUUUGAUUAUGCUUUCAAUUGUAAUCGAUUUUUUAGUUACAUAGAAAAGUUUACAAACAAAAUUUAAGUAAAGAAAGAUAUUCAUAUAAAGGGUGUAUCUUUUAGACAUAUAUUUAUGAAAAAGAAAUAAAACGCAUACAGUUUAAUGUUAUGGCCAAAAAUGUAGGUAUGUUAUAAAGGUAAGGGUUUGCUAAUAUGUUUUAAUAAUUAUUAAGGAAUAUUUCUCGAAUAAAUUCCAGUCGAAAGAUACAACUUUCGACCGCUUUUUGCUGCAAUAGGGGUUUUAUAUCAGCAACAUCUUACAACGCGUCAAUCUUCUCAGGUGCAUGGCACAUAAUCAUUAUUUUGGUAAUAAAUUGGAUUUACAAAUGCUGUUUAGGAAUCCUGAGUCUGUUAAUUAUUAAGUAAAAGCUGUAAAAAAAAAACUAACUCAAAAAAAUAUUUUUCCAGAUUUAAACCCACACGUCAAAAAACCACCCAUUGUUUCUAUUAUUCAUUCCAAUGGAAACAAAAUUAUGGGCUUUUUUUUGGACUUUUUCAUUAUUUAAUCAAUUUCAAAAUUUUCUUUUUCACUUCGGCAACGCAUUUAUCAUACAAAAGGAAAGAAAGUACGUGCAUACAUUAUUUUUAAACUCAUUUUGACGAGCGAACAAUAACCCCCGAACGUACUUGUUUUUAUUUAUUUUUGUUCUAAACACACAUCUGUGAAGAUGUCUCUGUACAGAACAAACAAAUGUUAUUCCAUUAUUAAAUACGCCGCAAAUGUUUUAUUAAUGCAAUUAUAGUCUCCAAUCUUCUAUAGCUUCCCUAUAAUAAAAAUAGUAUAUGCCUUUUGGCACAAAUAAUUUAUCUUAACAUUUGCAUGUUAUUUUUGUUUGUUAUUGUUUGAAGUGUAACUUUCUAUAACUAACAAAUAAAAACCACAAAUAAUACCAUGCUACUAAAUAUAAUUGACAUUGUGGCAUUCACCAAGUACAUAAUAAUUGGAAAUACGAAACACGAUUCGCAUGAGAACAGAUAAUGUUCCAGUUUUAGACUAGUCUGUAUUCUAGAUUCUAUACUAUGUCUACUAAAGUAAUCUGUAAAACAUGAAAUACAUACUUUAGUGUCUCUAAUUCCUGCUUCCUUGUUUUCGUCAUUUUUGUGUCUCAAGAAACUUCAAUAGUCAUACAUACAUAAGUACCGAAGUAUCUAGUUUUUAGUUGUUAAGAGUAAACAAAAACAAAACAUAAAUAAUAAUGUAAAGGGAUCCAACGUUCCGCAACUGAUUUCUUCCAAGAGACUGGGUUUUAUGACGUCAGUUUUCUAAACUCAAGGCUGUGCAGAACAACUCCUAGAUUUGUCAGAAAUUGGCUAAGGAUAAUAUUCACAUGAAGGCACAAAUAACACACAAAUCGCAAGCUUUGGAAACUGGAACUAGACAGAAUAAGUAAGAGAAAAAGAGCAAUGGAAGGUGGGUUUUUGUUCUGUUUUUGGAAUAUCAAAAAACAACAAGUGAUGCCAAGUUUAUUUAUGUAUAUUUUUUUCCUACUUUAUUUUGUCCAAGUAAUUAACUAAUAUUCUGAAUAGAAAAAAUAACUUAAAGCUCGAUUAAUUUUAUACAUAAUGUGCAAAUAAAUCAUAAUUAUAACAUUGAAACAUGUAUUUUUAUUUUAAAUUAAUUUUUAAAGUUCACUUUUUUAGAUACAACACAUACAAAAACUAUUGUUUGACGUUUCUUCCCUGUUUUUAUAAUGGGGAUUUCAUUGUUUUUUUUUUUUUAAUUUUAUUUUCAAAUUAUUUAUACACUUUAAAAAAUGUUCUUUAAUACAGAACAAGAGAAAAUAAACACUGAUUUUAUGUAUUCUUAUAUUCAAAAUAUAAAAGAGUAUUUUGCAAGUAGCCAACCCCGCAACUACCC